rnacentral:rRNA from 1 species
UAUCGGAACGUGCCCGGUUGUGGGGGAUAACGUAGAGAAAUUUACGCUAAUACCGCAUGAGAUCCAAGGAUGAAAGCGGGGGACUCUUGCAAGAGAGCCUCGCGCGACCGGAGCGGCUGAUAUCAGAUUAGCUUGUUGGUGAGGUAAAAGCUCACCAAGGCGACGAUCUGUAGCUGGUUUGAGAGAACGACCAGCCACACUGGGACUGAGACACGGUCCAG